AGCGAAACGGGAAGAGCCCAAACCAACAAGCUUGCUUGUUGGGGUUGUAGGACACUCUAUACGGAGUUACAAAGGACGACAUUAGACGAAUCAUCUGGAAAGAUGAAUCAAAGAAGGUAAUAAUCCUGUAGUCGAAAAUGUUGUCUCUCUUGAGUGGAUCCUGAGUACGACGGAGCACGUGAAAUUCCGUCGGAAUCUGGGAGGACCAUCUCCUAAGGCUAAAUACUCUCUAGUGACCGAUAGUGAACCAGUACCGUGAGGGAAAGGUGAAAAGCACCCCGGAAGGGGAGUGAAAUAGAACCUGAAACCGUGUGCUUACAAGUAGUCAGAGCCCGUUAAUGGGUGAUGGCGUGCCUUUUGUAGAAUGAACCGGCGAGUUACGAUUUGAUGCAAGGUUAAGCAGUAAAUGUGGAGCCGUAGCGAAAGCGAGUCUGAAUAGGGCGUUUAGUAUUUGGUCGUAGACCCGAAACCAGGUGAUCUACCCUUGGUCAGGUUGAAGUUCAGGUAACACUGAAUGGAGGACCG
rnacentral:rRNA from 1 species